rnacentral:lncRNA from 1 species
GACUGCAGUCAGUCCAAAUGCCCUGCUUUCCCUUUGCAAACAUUUGGAGCAAUUCGUUGGAUCUUGUUCACCUGUCAUCUCCCCCACACUUGGAGGGUAAUUUUAUUAAGCAAAAGGAGGGUCCAGUCUGGGUCCUGGAGCAACAGGCCCUGUCAAAGGGAAACCCAGAGACAGAGCAUGCAGGAAAACCACACACAUACACACGUGUUGGUAGUAGUUUUCCAUGGAAUCUUUUGGGUUUUCCAAUAUGCAACCAAGUCAUCUGCACAUACAGCUUUACCUGUUCCUUUCCAAUUCUGACACCUUUCUCUAAUUGCUUCCUAAUCGCCAACUUAUAAUUGCUAAUGUAAACUUAAAAUCGUUAAAAUUGCUAAUUUAAUUGGCUGAUAACUCCAACAUGAUGUUAAACAGUAGUGGCGUUAAGCCUAUCCUGUCUUGUUCCUGACUUAGUGGAAAAGCCUCUAUGUUUAGGAUGGAAUGGUUUCACGGGUGGUUUUCCUGGAGGUGGGAGAAGAAAUGGUCACUGUAUGUGGUUGGCGCUGUGAUUUUAAGGCCUCAUCGACUCUUUAUUCCUCUCAUCUUCCAUUGUUCUAUGAGAUCUCUCAGAUGGUAGGAGAGGUACUCAUAUCAAUGGCCUUCUGCUGGAGUAGAAGAUCUAUUUAUAUCAGGAUAGUAGGGUUUUUAAUUAGAAACCCAUCUCUGCCUCCCCUCUCCUGGCUAGUGAUGAUUUACACCUGAAGGAGAAGGGGUCAGAGAUUACACAUAGCAGCUGGGUCUUCGUGGCUUCUCCACGCCUCUGGAGUUGUGCUGAAACAGACAGGGUGGGAAGAGAGUCAUAAAUCAGACUGCCCAGAGACAGACUUGGGAGACUGAGGGAGCUGAGUGCCAAUCACAGGCUGGGGAAGGGGUAGAGUUGACUACUUCUUUGAGGUUCCGUGAAUGGGGGAAUCUGGAAACUCGUAUGAAAUUAGAAGGCUGAUUGAGCUGAGUGUCUCAUGUGUA